CUCACCUUUCAUAGUCAUCCCCGCCUAUAUACCGCCGUCGCCAGCUUACCCUGUGAAGGCCCCCUAGUAAGCUUAAUUGGCACAGCCCAAAACGUCAGGUCGAGGUGUAGCGUAUGGAAAGGGAAGAAAUGGGCUACAUUCCCUGUUACAGCGAAUCACGGAUAAUAAUACUGAAACGUGCAUCUAGAAGGAGGAUUUAGCAGUAAGCAGAAAGCAGAGCGUUCCGCUGAAAUUGGCCCUGAAGCGCGCACACACCGCCCGUCACUCUCUCCAAACAUGUCUUUUUAAAUUUAACUUAAAACUUUCCACUAACACAAGGGGAGGCAAGUCGUAACAUGGUAAGUGUACCGGAAGGUGCACUUGGCAAAAC
rnacentral:rRNA from 1 species